CUCCCCCCCCCCCCAGGUGCGGCACCUGCUGGAGGAGGCCCCCCCCGCGCUGCCCCCAGCGCCGCCGCUGACGGUGCCGCCGGAAGCCAUCACGCUGCGCGAGGCCGAGCCCCUGGCGCCGCCCCCCGUCGAGGCGGAGCUGCCGGAGGUGACGGCGCGGGAGCUGGAGCUGCUGGCGGAGGCCGAGGCCGAGCUGCU